rnacentral:rRNA from 1 species
UACGGGGGGGGCAAGCGUUGUUCGGAAUUACUGGGCGUAAAGGGCUCGUAGGUGGCCAACUAAGUCAGACGUGAAAUCCCUCGGCUUAACCGGGGAACUGCGUCUGAUACUGGAUGGCUUGAGUUCGGGAGAGGGAUGCGGAAUUCCAGGUGUAGCGGUGAAAUGCGUAGAUAUCUGGAGGAACACCGGUGGCGAAGGCGGCAUCCUGGACCGACACUGACACUGAGGAGCGAAACGCCAGGGGAGCAAACGGG